rnacentral:rRNA from 1 species
UUCGUCACACUAUCAUUAACUGAAUCCAUAGGUUAAUGAGGCGAACCGGGGGAACUGAAACAUCUAAGUACCCCGAGGAAAAGAAAUCAACCGAGAUUCCCCCAGUAGCGGCGAGCGAACGGGGAGGAGCCCAGAGCCUGAAUCAGCAUGUGUGUUAGUGGAAGCGUCUGGAAAGGUGCGCGAUACAGGGUGACAGCCCCGUACACAAAAGCGCAUGUGCUGUGAGCUCGAUGAGUAGGGCGGGACACGUGGUAUCCUGUCUGAAUAUGGGGGGACCAUCCUCCAAGGCUAAAUACUCCUGACUGACCGAUAGUGAACCAGUACCGUGAGGGAAAGGCGAAAAGAACCCCGGC